rnacentral:rRNA from 1 species
UACGUAGGUGGCAAGCGUUAUCCGGAUUUACUGGGUGUAAAGGGCGUGUAGGCGGGAAAGCAAGUUAGAUGUGAAAACCAUGGGCUCAACCUGUGGCCUGCAUUUGAAACUGUUUUUCUUGAGUACUGGAGAGGCAGACGGAAUUCCUAGUGUAGCGGUGAAAUGCGUAGAUAUUAGGAGGAACACCAGUGGCGAAGGCGGUCUGCUGGACAGCAACUGACGCUGAGGCGCGAAAGCGUGGGGAGCAAACAGG